rnacentral:rRNA from 1 species
UAGGGAAUCUUCCACAAUGGACGCAAGCCUGAUGGAGCAACGCCGCGUGCGUGAAGAAGGUUUUCGGAUCGUAAAGCUCUUUUGUUGGUGAAGAAGGAUAGAGGCAGUAACUGGUCUUUAUUUGACGGUACUCAACCAGAACGUCACGGCUAACUACGUGCCAGCAGCCGCGGUAAUACGUAGGUGGCAAGCGUUGUUCGGAUGUAUUGGGCGUAAAGCGAGCGCAGGCGGAAUGAUAAGUCUGAUGUGAAAGCCCACGGCUCAACCGUAAAACUGCAACGGAAACUGUCAUUCUUGAGUGCAGAAGAGGAGAGUGGAAUUCCAUGUGUAGCGGUGGAAUGCGUAGAUAUAUGGAAGAACACCAAUGGCGAAGGCGGCUCUCUGGGCUGCAACUGACGCUGAGGCUCGAAAGCAUGGGUAGCGAACAGG